GGCCCAGAUCGUUUACCGUGAAAAAAUUAGAGUGUUCAAAGCAGGCAGAUCCAAUUUUCUGCCACCGAAUACAUUAGCAUGGGAUAAUGGAAUAGGACCCUGUCCUCCUAUUUUCAGUUGGUUUUGGCAGCGCGAGGACUAGGGUAAUGAUUAAUAGGGAUAGUUGGGGGCAUUAAUAUUUAAUUGUCAGAGGUGAAAUUCUUGGAUUUAUGAAAGAUUAACUUCUGCGAAAGCAUCUGCCAAGGAUGUUUUCAUUAAUCAAGAACGAAAGUUAGGGGAUCGAAGACGAUCAGAUACCGUCGUAGUCUUAACCAUAAACGAUGCCGACCAGCGAUUAGGAGACGUUGAAUACAAAACACCACCAUCGGUGCGGUCGUCCUUGGCGUUGGUCUUCAAAAGCCAGCGCGGGGGUGGCUUAGCCCGGUGGCACCGGUGAAUGACUCCCCUAGCAGCUUGUGAGA
rnacentral:rRNA from 1 species